rnacentral:rRNA from 1 species
GACGGAGGAGGCAAGCGUUAUCCGGAAUUAUUGGGCGUAAAGCGUCCGCAGGUGGCGAUUCAAGUCUGCUGUCAAAGCCCGGGGCUCAACCCUGGAGAGGCAGUGGAGACUGAGUUGCUAGAGUGUGGUAGGGGCAGAGGGAAUUCCCGGUGUAGCGGUGAAAUGCGUAGAUAUCGGGAAGAACACCAGUGGCGAAAGCGCUCUGCUGGACCACAACUGACACUCAUGGACGAAAGCUAGGGGAGCGAAAGGG